rnacentral:snRNA from 1 species
GAUCACUUCGGCAGAACAUAUACUAAAAUUGGAGUGAUACGGGGAAGAUUAGCAUGGCCCCUGCGCAAGGAUGACAUGCAAUUACAGUUGGAAACUUCAACACCCCU